rnacentral:tRNA from 1 species
GGAGAGAUGACCGAGCGGCCGAAGGUGCGCGAUUGGAAGUCGCGUGUACUCCUAAAGGGUACCGAGGGUUCAAAUCCCUCUCUCUCCG